AUGUUUUCUACGCGCGACGAUGAAAUUUCUCCACGCAGUACGCGUCUCUACUUAGAACUAUUUUCAGCGUGACAGUUUUUGUAUUAUCUUGUAGCCUGGGAACACCGUUCAAUUGGUGCGACAGAAACUUAUGCAGCUUCCGUCUCACGCAUUGUAUGGAAACGGUUGAAUACCGCUUGUAGUUACUUUCUUGCCAUAGAGUUCAACUAGUAAAAGGUGCCCAUGCUGCGAGUGCAGUCGUAACGCUUUGACGUUGGAUCCGAGCCCAUGGAGAAAGUUGGAGCUGUAGAGCUGUAUGUUUUUGGACAAAGUCACCAAUUCCAUUGCUCUUCCUAUGCCAAGUGGCCAG
rnacentral:lncRNA from 1 species